rnacentral:rRNA from 1 species
GACCGUGCAAAGGUAGCAUAAUCAUUUGCCUUAUAAUUGAAGGCUAGUAUGAAUGGUUUGACGAGAAUUAAGCUGUCUCUUUUCAACUAAAUAUAACUUUAUUUACAGGUGAAGAAGCCUGUAUUAUAUUGAAAGACAAGAAGACCCUAUCGAGCUUUAAAUAAUUUAAUAAGUUAACUAUAUAUUGAUAGAAAAAUUAAAUUGUUAAGGAUUUUAGUUGGGGCGACUGAGGAACAAACAAAGCUUCCUUAUUAACAUGGAAACAUACAGGUAUUGAUCCAAUAUUUUUGAUUAAGGGAAUUAGUUACCGUAGGGAUAACAGCAUAAUCCUCUUUGAGAGCUCUUAUCGAAAAGGGGGUUUGUGACCUCGAUGUUGGACCAGAAUAUCCGGAAGAUGCAGCCGUCUUCAAUGGUUGGUCUGUUCGACCAUUAA